GACGAACGCUGGCGGCGUGCUUAACACAUGCAAGUCGAACGGAAAGGCCCCCUUGUGGGGUCCUCGAGUGGCGAACGGGUGAGUAACACGUGAGUAACCUACCCUUGACUUUGGAUUAAUUCAGGAAACUGGGGCUAAUACCGGAUAGGAGCUCCUGCUGCAUGGUGGGGGUUGGAAAGUUUCGGCGGUUGGGGAUGGACUCGCGGCUUAUCAGCUUGUUGGUGGGGUAGUGGCUCACCAAGGCUUUGACGGGUAGCCGGCCUGAGAGGGUGACCGGCCACAUUGGGACUGAGAUACGGCCCAGACUCCUACGGGAGGCAGCAGUGGGGAAUAUUGCACAAUGGGCGGAAGCCUGAUGCAGCAACGCCGCGUGCGGGAUGACGGCCUUCGGGUUGUAAACCGCUUUCGCCUGUGACGAAGCGUGAGUGACGGUAAUGGGUAAAGAAGCACCGGCUAACUACGUG
rnacentral:rRNA from 1 species